rnacentral:tRNA from 1 species
AGCGUGCCUGAAGGCAUAGGGGCUACUUUGAUAAAGCAGACAUGAGGUCAACCAACCUCCACUUCCG